rnacentral:rRNA from 1 species
AUUGAACGCUGGCGGAAUGCUUUACACAUGCAAGUCGAACGGCAGCACGGACUUCGGUCUGGUGGCGAGUGGCGAACGGGUGAGUAAUGUAUCGGAACGUGCCCAGUCGUGGGGGAUAACGUAGUGAAAAUUACGCUAAUACCGCAUACGAUCUAUGGAUGAAAGCGGGGGAUCGCCAGACCUCGCGCGAUUGGAGCGGCCGAUAUCAGAUUAGGUAGUCGGUGGGGUAAAGGCCCACCAAGCCAACGAUCUGUAGCUGGGCUGAGAGGACGACCAGCCACACUGGGACUGGGACACGGUCCAGACUCCAACGGGAGGCAGCAGUGGGGAAUUUUGGACAAUGGGCGAAAGCCUGAUCCAGCCAUUCCGCGUGCAGGAUGAAGGCCCUCGGGUUGUAAACUGCUUUUGUACAGAACGAAAAGGUUUCUACUAAUACUAGGAGCUCAUGACGGUACUGUAAGAAUAAGCACCGGCUAACUACGUGCCAGCAGCCGCAGUAA